AGAGUUUGAUCCUGGCUCAGAUUGAACGCUGGCGGCAGGCCUAACACAUGCAAGUCGAACGGUAACAUUUCUAGCUUGCUAGAAGAUGACGAGUGGCGGACGGGUGAGUAAUGCUUGGGAACUCGCCUUUGCGAGAGGGAUAACAGUUGGAAACGACUGCUAAUACCGCAUAAUGUCUACGGACCAAACGGGGCUUCGGCUCCGGCGCAAAGAGAGGCCCAAGUGAGAUUAGCUAGUUGGUAAGGUAACGGCUUACCAAGGCGACGAUCUCUAGCUGUUCUGAGAGGAAGAUCAGCCACACUGGGACUGAGACACGGCCCAGACUCCUACGGGAAGGAGCAGUGGGGAAUAUU
rnacentral:rRNA from 1 species